rnacentral:tRNA from 1 species
GUCCCUGUAGUGCAAUGAAUAGCGCGUUGGACUUCUAAUCCAAAGGUCAUGGGUUCGAAUUCCACCUGGGAUA